UACAGAGGGGGCAAGCGUUAUUCGGAAUUAUUGGGCGUAAAGGGCGCGUAGGCGGUUCUUCAAGUCUUUCGUGAAAUCCCUCGGCUUAACUGAGGACGUGCGGGAGAUACUGAAGGGCUUGAGUCCGGAAGAGGGUGGUGGAAUUCCCAGUGUAGCGGUGAAAUGCGCAGAUAUCAGGAGGAACACCGGUGGCGAAGGCGGAUCUCUGGGCCGUAACUGACGCUGAGGAGCGAAAGCAUGGGGAGCGAACAGG
rnacentral:rRNA from 1 species